rnacentral:rRNA from 2 species
AGACCCGAAACCCGGUGAUCUAGCCAUGGGCAGGUUGAAGGUUGGGUAACACUAACUGGAGGACCGAACCGACUAAUGUUGAAAAAUUAGCGGAUGACCUGUGGCUGGGGGUGAAAGGCCAAUCAAACCGGGAGAUAGCUGGUUCUCCCCGAAAGCUAUUUAGGUAGCGCCUCGUGAAUUCAUCUCCGGGGGUAGAGCACUGUUUCGGCUAGGGGGCCAUCCCGGCUUACCAACCCGAUGCAAACUGCGAAUACCGGAGAAUGUUAUCACGGGAGACACACGGCGGGUGCUAACGUCCGUCGUGAAGAGGGAAACAACCCAGACCGCCAGCUAAGGUCCCAAAGUCAUGGUUAAGUGGGAAACGAUGUGGGAAGGCCCAGACAGCCAGGAUGUUGGCUUAGAAGCAGCCAUCAUUUAAAGAAAGCGUAAUAGCUCACUGGUCGAGUCGGCCUGCGCGGAAGAUGUAACGGGGCUAAACCAUGCACCGAAGCUGCGGCAGCGAACGUAUCACCCAAG